GGGCCUCUAGCUCAGUUGGUUAGAGCGCGUCCCUGAUAAGGACGAGGUCUCUGGUUCGAAUCCAGAGAGGCCCACCA
rnacentral:tRNA from 1 species